UGUAGGUUUUGGCAUCUGCUAAGACAACAAGUCUCUCCAGAACAGACUAAAGGAUACUAACUGUUGGAGCUCCAGCCACCAUGUAGGAAGUCUGGCUAUCCCGAGGCUGCCUUGUGGAGAGUCUAUAUGGAGUGAUGACAUAUGGAAAGAAAAAAACAGCCCCAUAACCUCCACUAACCAGAUGUUUGCAUCAUUCCAGCCCAGGCAGUGUAGGCAACCGACAGAAGAAUUCUGCGGACAGAAUUCAGGCCACUGCAGCUGUAGCUGUACACAGGCAACUGGCAUGUCUGGAAAAUCGGGUGGUAAUUCUGAUUCUAACUUAGCAAACGUGGGACUCCCUAUCAUUUGAAUCAAUGAACAUAUUUUCAUUUUUGGCAUUAAAGAAAUCCAGGCACAACAUUAGCAUGAUAGGUAAGUGAAGCACAAACUUCCAUUAUUUUACAACAAAAUAGACCCAAAGAUUUGGGGCUUU